GGUGGAUAUGUUACAUCAAGGAUCAUUUCACAUAAAUGAGCAGAAGCAAGGCAACAUCAGUCUUCUCAUCUACAAAGUGUCUGCCAUAUUCAGAUAUGAGCCAUACAAAGGAUUGGAGGCACAGAGGAUAACCAGAAAGGAAGAAAACCUCGGACUACCAGAGGCUUUUUCAGUUUGUGUGUGUGGAAACAGCUUGCAUCUUGCCAACUUAGAUAAACUGAAACUACUUGAACAAAUAUCAAAUACCAACCUUUGAAUACUCUGAAAAAAGUACUGUGAUAAUGGGACAAUUGUAUUCAGAUCCACAUCAUCAGGAACAUUGAUAUCAAGAGAAAUGUAGAGCCAUUCCUAGAUGUAUUCCCUGUUUAGUCC
rnacentral:lncRNA from 11 species